AAGGUUAUGCCAAUGGCGGAGAUCGCAGCCGAGGUUGGGCGCAAUGAAGACAAAGCUAGGAACUUAUAAAUCAGAAAAAUAAAUCAAAUAAUCGAAACAAUUUUUAGAUUUUAAAGUAUUAUACACUUAAAAAAAAUUUAGAUAUAGAGUCCCGAGACUCAAUCGGGAGACGACGCCAACACACAAUACUCAAAAUAAUAUUUAUAUUACUCAUAAUAUUGUAGAGUGCUAUGGAAACAUUAAUGAGUUUGAAUGCAUUUAUGAAACGAAUAUAAAAUAAUAUUCUCUUUAUGAUUCAGCUCCUAGCCUUCUAAAAUAUCUUGAUUCUAUUACUAGUAUUAACCUUGGUCCUAAUAUGAAAUAAUGGAAAUUUUGGAGUGAGAUCUCACGAUCUUAGUAAGUAGUACACCAUAACCAAAUAGUAACUAAAAACUUUUAAUGUAAAUAAUUUAAAUUGCAUGAAUAUUUUUUUUCAUAAAUUAAUCACAAGUGGAACCCGCAUACCUAAACAAUUUAAAUUUUCGAAUACAGUAAAAACAUAGGCAUCAUACAAUUAAACAUGAGGAGCACUUAAUCUUUAUAAAACCAUCACCACAUUUACGUCCCUACUUUAAACACAUUUUUCUACAUUAUUCAAUUUUCAUAUGUUCACUAUUGCCUAAGGGAUAUACAAAUCUCAUAUAUAUGAAUGGGUAUAGAAACUCGAUGGUUACAACUUACACACCCCAUGGAUACACAAACCUUGCUCCUGAGAGGUACCAACACACUCCAUGGAUACAUAAACCCUAAUUGUAACACUCAGGCCCGAAAAUUUGGUCCGGAAUAAUUUAAUAAAAAUAAAUUAAAAUAAUUUUAAUUUUAAUUUUUAUGCAUUUUUUGUGAAAAUUGAGUUUUGGGUGCAUUUGAAAAUAUUUUCAAAAAUUAGGAGCAAAAUAAAAAUGAGGAAUGACCUAUUUGAAAAGAAAUCUAGAAAACUGAGGUAAAAAUAAAAUUUUUAAAAGUUUGGUCACGUGGACCACCAUGUCAGCAGCGUGGCUAGUCUCCGUGCGCCACGUGGCAGAUAUGUGGACACACAUCCACGCGGGCGAUCCAUGUGCCAGCGGAUCUAACGACCCAGAUUGAAUCACACGCACACGAACUACCCAUAUCCAUUUUCUUUUCAGGCGCGAUCGGAUGAUUGGAGUUGAUCGCGAUGGACGGCCCAGAUUUGCACACGGAUCAGCCUAAACGGGUCUCGAAUCGGACGACUCUCCUUAUUCCACGUCAACGCAAACGAAUAGUCGGGAUCAAGGGAAGAGAGGUAGGUAUUUAAACCUCUCUUCAGUCAGUUCCCAUAACCCUAGCUGACACCCCUAACCAGAGAAGAAGAAGAAGGGUGACCGGAGGAAAGCUCAACCGCUGGAGGGACAUCGUUGCCGACGCACUGGAGCCACCAUCGACGCUAAAAAAUGUAAAAAUUUUCUCCUUCCGCUCGAAAUUGAAUUCCAUACCUCCCCACACCCAUAUUAGAGCCAAAAGAGCAACGGGUGAGCCAAAAAAAUACAAGCGGAGCUCGUCGAGCCGCUACGGUGCCAACUCAAAAACCUCUCUGAUGACCCCCUUCCCGUUUCCCAUUCCCUUUGAUUUUUUGACCAUCAUGUUCCUUGUUUUCUUCCAGUGCAGGUUAGCUGAGGAGAAACUCUGGCCGCAAGAGAGGAACGAAGGAGUCGUUGCACUGGAGAACCACCCCCCUUCUUCCACCGGUAGGGUCUCAAUUUUUCCUUUUUUUGACCAACAGAGGCUCCCUAACCUAUUUUUCAUAGGUUUUCAUGCAAAAUUGGCCAAAACUGGUUGAAAAUAGCCAUGCCAAGAGGAAACGCCGCCAUAAGCGCUGGAGCUAGCAUCGGAGCACGGUGGCAGCGUCGUGCUGGAACCCUAAACCGAUCAAAAAAGUUUAAAACUAUUUAUUUUGGCCUUUUUAGGGUAUUUUUGAAUACGUGACGCGUGUUUUGAUUUUUGUUUGAAAAACUUAAAAAAUUCGAAAACCGCUAGAAGGCGCAGUGAAAAGGACGAUAUUUCGAAUAUUGAUCCAGAGUAAGAAUCCUUCACCAUUUUCUCCCAUUAUGGUAAAUUAAAGUCUAAUAACUAAUAAUUGUGUGCUUUGCAAAAGUUAAAAAAUCCUAAAGUUAAUUACAGGUCACCAGUAGAGCCUGUAACUAGUCAGUACAAAAUUGUCUAUUUUAUCUGUACUGCUCAUUUAUUGCUAUGCUACGUUGUUUGCUUACCAGGUGCACUUUAAUUUAUUAGGUUUAGUUGAUUUCUCACUAAUUAGUUUACUCAACAAUUUUAUCCCUAUCAGUUAAUUAGUCUGAAUGAAUGUUUUAAUUUUGCCUUCUUCAAUUACCGAGUAUUAAAUUAUAUUGACUGUCUAAUUAUCGUCCUAUUAUUUGUAAUUAUGAAAUAAGAUUGUUGUAUGUAAUUGGUGGCUAAAUGAUGAUGUGAACAUGCAUGUAAAAGGGAUUAUCAGGUAUCCUACGAAAGGGUGUACGGACCCGGUGCAUAGAGAAACCCUACUGUGGACAUUAUCUCAACUGAACGAGGCUGAGAAGUCCCAUACCGGAAGAGUUUGGGAGGUAUAGAUCACACUCAUAUCGGACAAGGUAUCAAGGUGGUGGUAUGUUUGACGCCCAUUACCAGACGAGGUAUGGGGACGACCGAUUGGUUGAUAAAUUAGAUAUUAGAUUCAUGCGUUGGGGGAUAUCUUUAUGGACCCCCAGAGGUACUGGUAGGCAGGUAAGAAGGUAAAUUUAUUAUUAUUAUUCAUUUAAGUGUGUAAUAAGAAUGCUAUUCGGGUUAUUGUUUUCAUAGGUCAUUUUUGAAAACUCAUAAGGGUAAGUAUGAAAUAACGAUUUUUAAGUUAAACAAAUUUAUUUAUAAAAGAAAUAAUGACUCAAUUGGUUGUUUGUCGAUUUUUACCAACAUUUAAUUUUUGUAAGGAUGUUAAGUGUGAUAUUUUUACUAGGAUAGUGUAGCUCAUUCUCCUUAUUUAACCAUUUCAGAUCAGGAAGACCAAGAUCUAGACUCUGAACAGCAAGAGGGUUGCGAAUAAAAGCUGCCUUCCAUAUCCGAUUAGAGUUGCCCAGUAGAGGUUAAUGCUAUAGGAUCUUUAGUUGUGUUUUCUUUUAGUUAUUUAUUUCGUUAUUGAAACUCCCUAAAAAGGAGCAUUCCCAUAGCCCUAUUGGGCACUCCGAUGUAUUAUGUAAGGAAUAUAAAUCCUAAACUCUAAGUUGCUUCUGCUUAUAAUUACUUAAUUCAGUAUUUCCAUUUCUUUAAGUUUUGGGCCUUUAUAGUUGGUAUCAGAGCUGCGUUCCUCAGAAUCAUUCCUUGCAUGAAGAUUUGAAUCAUUUAAAUACAACCUGACACUCAACCAUUUCUUGUGAAAUGUAGGUACUAAGAUAUGAGGAGACGAAGGUCCCCACCAAACAGAGUAACCCAGGAUGGGUCACCUCAAGAGGAUGUCGAUCACUAUUCGAGAUGCUAGAGAGACUUAUCUCUGCGCAGUAGGCCCGGGAAGAGAGGAGGAAGCUAUCUGACCCUCCACCACUGUCACAGUAUGAGCUACCCUAGUACAACCCUACUCCUCCACAGUAUCAUUCGGCACUGCUACAGUAUAAUCCAGUAUCCCCACCAUACAAUUAGGUGCCGCCAUAGGGCCACCUGGCCCCUCCCUAGCAUAAUCCAGUCCCUCUUCAACAGGAUCCAAUUUUUCCCAUGAUGGACCCAGACUGCAUUGAGAGGUAUAAGAGACAUAACACAUCUAGCUUUGCAGGGGCAUCCUCUUUCGAAGAGACUGAGUAUUGGUUAGAAGUGAUUGGGAAGUUCUUUACAACUCUUGAGGUAGUUCUCGAACAGAAGAUCAUACUUAUUACCUACAUGUUCGUAGGGAGGCAGGUCGCUGGGUGGCAGCUUAAGCUGGCCACCCUACCCAUCAUAGCCACUUGGGAACAGUUCCUAAUAGUCUUCAAUGCGGAGUACCUCCUAAAGCAUCUUCUGUAAUUGCUCAGAACCUAAAAAGAAAUAAAAUUAUAAAUUGAAUGUGGAAGCGGAAUAAUAGAGUUAAGAUUUACAUUCCUUAUACAAUAGUUUUAAAUACCCAAUAAGGAUAUGAGAAUGUCCCUUCUAAAAGAAUAAACAAAAAUCAAAGAAAUUAAAGAAAUAAAUGAAAAGUAGACAACUAAACAUCUUAGGACGAUCUUCACUAGCUUUUAAAGGAGUCCGCGUGGUGAACUAUUCACAACCCUCUUGUUCAUCGGGAUCUGGGUCUUGGUCCUCUUGAUCUGAAAUAGUUAAUGAAUAGGUGAGCUACCCUAGCCUAGUAAGAAUAUCACACUACUCACCGAUACCGAAAAUAAAGGUUGGUAAAAAUCAUAAAAACAACCAAUGGAGCUUUUAAUUUAAGUAAAUUCAUUUAUCAUAAGUAAAACUAUUUAUUGCAUACUUACUGUUGUGAUAUUUUUAAAACCGACCUAUAGAGAUAAUAGUUCAACAAUAUCAUAAUCUCAUAUUCAAGUAAGUAAGGAUAACAACUUUUUAUUUUUAUUUACCUACAUUAUCCAUGGAGGUCCAUAGAGAUAUCCCACUAUGCGUGAACCAACAUAUAACCUUGUCAACUAACUGGCCAUCCCCAUACACCGUUCGAUAUGAGCGCCAAAAAUACCAUCUCUUAAUACCACGUCCGAUAUGAGGGUGAAACGGGUUGUCCCCAUACCCCGUCCGGUAUGAGCGCCAAAAAUAUCAUCCCUUAAUACCCCGUCCGAUAUGAGGGUGAAACGGGCUGUCCUUAUACCCCGUUCAGUAUGAGCGCCAAAAAUACUAAUAUUCGAUACCCCGUCUGGUAUGAGACGAUGUUCACUGUAAGGUUUCCUAUAUAUCCGAUCCGUCCACCAUCUCCUAGUAGUGUCCUACUCACAUGAGUAGACACAAAUAACAUAGAAUCAAGUCUUUUAGGUAAUAUAUUCAAGUUUGGUAUAAAAGCAUGUGAAAUAAAUGAAUAUGAUACACCAAUAUCAGUCAAAACAUGUGCAAGAGGAUUACAGAUAAUGUACGUAUCCUGUAUUAUGUAUAGGUUAGCUUCUAUAUCUUGCUGAGUGAGGAUGUAAGCCAUGCCCUAUAUAAGAGGUCUGGCCUGCUUAUGAUUCCUCGGGCACUCUCUCGCGUAGUGCUGGGCACUCCCACAUAUACUGAAAGUAUUGUUGAGGUGAUAGCAGAGUCGAUCCCCAUGAUCCUUACCACAGUGCUGGCAAGUCCUAUCGCAUCUUAUUGUUAGAAUAUGAGGAGGAGUCUAAGUCACUGGUCUAGGUCUCUUAUUCUGCUGAACAGGGAUAAUGGGUGUUGGUUUGCGGUGUGAAACUGAGGGUCUGAGGUUCUCUACUGCUGGAGAAAAGAUGCGAAGGUUCAUCUCCACUAGUUGUGCCUUGGCCAGAACGGUUGAGUAAGUACUGAACUCGAACACACACAACUAUUGUCUAAUCUCAAGACGGAGGUCCCACUCAAACUUUCUUGCCUUUCUGCCUUCAUCCAUCAUGCUCUUAGGGGAAUACCAGCCCAACUCUAGGAACUUUCAGGCAUAUUCUGAUAUAGUUAUAUUACCCUGGAACAGGUAUGCAAACUUCAUUUCCUUCAGAUGUCAGAGAUGCUCUGGGAAGUACUCUGCAUUGAAGGCCAACAAGAACUGUUCCCAAGUGACUAGAACGGGCAGAGUGGUCUGCUUGAGUUGCCACCAGUGGUCUGCUUCUCCCACCAGUAUGUAGGUGGCAAGUAUGACUCUCUGUUCAAGAAUCACUCCGAAAGUCGUGAAGGCCUUCUCUGUCUCAGCUAACCAGUACUCAGCCUCUUCAAAAGAGGAUGCCCCUGUAAAAGUAGAUGGGUAUGACUCUCUGUUCAAGAAUCACUCCAAAAGUCGUGAAGGCCUUCUCUGUCUCAGCUAACCAGUACUCAGCCUCUUCAAAAGAGAAUGGCCCUGUAAAAGUAGAUGGGUUUAGUCUUUUAUAUCUCUCAAUGUAGCCUGGGUCCAUAAUGGGAGGAACUGGGUUCUGUGGAAGAGGGAUUGGAUUGUGCUGGAGAUGGACUGGAUGGCUUUAUGGUGGUACUGGAUGAUACAGUGGAGGUACUAGAUUAUACUGUGGUGGUGCCGCGUGAUGCAGUUGGGGUACCGCACCAUACUGUGGUGGUGUCAAAUGGUACUGUAGAGGAACAGGGUCGUACCGGGGUAGCUCAGGAUCCUCCCGUUGCAGGGGUGGCUCAAACUGUGGCAGUGGAGGAGGGUCAGGUAGCUCCCUCCUUUCUUCCCAGGCUUGCUGGACAGUGAUGAGUCUCUCCAGCAUUUCAAAUAAUUGGUCAACAUCCUCUCGAAGCGAACCCUUCCGGGUUACUCAGUUUAGUAUGGCUCUUCCUCUCCUCAUCUAUUUGUACCUGCAUUUCACAAGGAAUGGUUGAGUGAUAAUUCAUUAUUUUUGUAUUUCCUAAGGUUUUUGUACAAGGAAUUGUUCUGAGGAACGCGUCUCUGAUACCAACUGUAACAGCCCGUAACUUAAAAGGAAAUAAAGACAUGAAUUGAAUGCAGAAGCGAAAUAAUAGAGUUAGAGUUUACAUUCCUUACACAAUAGUUUUAAAUAUUCAAUAGGGUUACAAGAAUGUCCAUUCUAAAAGAACAAACAAAAAUCAAAGAAAUAAAUAAAAAGUAGACAACUGAGCAUCCUAGAACAACUAUCACUAGCUUUUGAAGGAGUNNNNNNNNNNNNNNNNNNNNNNNNNNNNNNNNNNNNNNNNNNNNNNNNNNNNNNNNNNNNNNNNGAGGUGAUGUUCACAGUAGGGUUUCCUAUGUACCUUAUCCGUCCAUCAUCUCUCAAGAUAUCCAGUAAGGCUACCAUUCAUUCAUUAACUUAACCAAUCAGUUUUUUGUUUACAUUUGAUUUUCAGUUUCACAAUUUAAUCGUAAAUCAACGCAAAACAAACAAUACAUGCAUAAAAAAAACACAACUGAAUCAUUUUACCAAUUCCAGUAUAUUAUCAUGCAUUUAAAGCUGUAAAAUCAAACAAUCGGUUAAACAAGACAACAAUAAUAAAUAACCGAUUUUGCCUCCAUUAGUAACCUGUAAUUAAUUAUCGAAGAUUUCUAAAUUAUGUAAAAUACCGCAUUAUUGAUAACUAGACUUCAAUUCCAUAACAGGGAAUAAGGUGACGGAUUCUUACCCGAAUCAGUUUCGAAGCACCGAACUUUUAACUGUAGCUACAGGCGGUCUCUAGGUUUCCUGAAUUUUUCUGCGGAGGUUAAAACAUGCUUUACGUACCUAAAAAUACCUUAAAAAAUCUAAAAUUAGUGUUAAAAAUAUUUUCUGACCAAUUUUGAAAUUUUGGCACAGCGGCACCACCGAGCUCUAGCGACAGCAUCGCUACCCAUGGCUGCAGUUUACCUCAGACUGGCUGUUUUCGGCUAGUUUUGACCGAUUUUAUACCCAUCCAUGCGAGAAAACAUGUUAGGGGGUCUCGGUUGGCCGAAAAAAGUAGAAAAAUAAAAAUUCACUAGCGGCAAAAUUUUCUAGUCCGGUAACUUCGCCGGCUCACCUUCGCGGCUGAGCAUUUUUUUUCAGUCAACGUAUAGAAAAUAGAAUGAUGAACACAAUAGUGGAAAAAUCGCACGAAACUAAAAAUAGAAAGGGGCUCAUCGGAGGCGAUUUUUAGUUUUGCCCGUGGUGGUGCCGCCGGGCUUUACCUAUAGUUUUCGGCUCAUCCGCCAUUCCUUUUGCUCCAAUUUAGCCAUGGGGGUGUUCGAAAUCAAAUUCCAAGUGACUAGAAUUUUUUUUACAUUUUUUGACGGUUGGAGGUGGCUCUAGUGUGGCGGCGAGCUGGGGUCGGCUCCUUUCUUCAGCGACUGAUUUUUUUUCUCCGGUAGGUGGCUAGCGAGGGUUUGGGUUCGAUGUGAUGCGAGAUAUUUAUACCCAUCUCCAUUAAAUCUGAGUCAUUCAUCGCAUUUGAUCUUGAUUGUUUGAUCGCAUUUAAAAAGAAAAUGAAUCUGAACCAUUCAUCACGAUUUGAUCUUGACCGUACGAUUGCGUUUAAAGAGAAAAUAAAUCUAGACUGUUCAUCGCAUUUAAUCGCAACUGUCUGAUCGAGCCUGAGGAGGGAACGGAUCCGAACCAUUAAUGUCGGGGUGAAUGCAUCUGGGUCGUCCGAUCACAGGCACACAGAUUGCCAGCGUGGCCUCCUACGUGGCACCGAGUCAGUUUGCGUUGCCAUGCAACGUGCUCUAGUUUGUCGGGACUGCUGACUGGGCCGUCCUACGUAGCACAAUUUUCUUUAAUUAUAUUUUGACCCCCCACUUUUCGAUUUUUCUUUCAAAAAUACCCCCGAACCCAAAUUUUCACCCAUUUUUUCCAAAGUUAUUUUCAAUUUCAUCAUCCACAUAUUUUUUUCCUAAUUUUACAUUAAAUAAAAAUUUAUAAAUGUUAAAAUUAUAUUUAUAUAUAUAUUUAUAUAUAUAUUUUUAAUUUUAAAACUAAUCCCGAACCAAAUUUCGGGACCGGGUAUUACAACUUAAUGCGGUAAGGGGUAACUAAAAUACUAAAUUUGGGGUUAAAGCCCUUAAAACCGCUAGUAUUGGUGGCCAAAAAUUAGUGCCAAAGUUUUACUUUGUGGGGAAAAUUCUGAUCUUAAAUUAAUGACAAAAUUAUCUUUAAACUCGACAAAAUUUCCAUUAAAAUCACUGCUUAAAAUUUUAGAAAACAAGCUGUUUAAAAUUGUUUUCCAAUUGUUAACCUUCCAACCCUACCUUUUAAGUACUUUGUAUAAGCCCCAAACCACUUCCUAAAUUCAUUCAUUUACUAGCCUUUUUAUGGAAUUAAUUUUGAAAUUUUAGAAGUGAAGACAUGUAGAUUUAUCUAAAAAAAUUGCCACAAAGCUAAACCAUACCUUAAAAAGGAAGAGAACAGUCCCAAAAAUGCAUUUCAAUACAUCCAAUUUCAACCCAUAAAAUCCUUAAUCCCUUUCUAAUCUCUAUCCAUGAUUUCUCCUUAAAAUCAGUAAUUCAUGACAUUUAAAGUCUCAAAGUAUCAAAAUUUUAUGUCUAAAGCAUGGAAAAUAAAUAUGGAAAAGUGGAUACCAAAACAGAAUGUUUAACAUAAACAUUCGUGAACACAUAUGCAUUCAGCUCUUCCAAAUCUCAGCAUAAUAAAUUUCAAAUCCUUGCGUAAAAAUGAAAAAUCAUUGCACAUCAUCCUAGGGUAUCCUACUUACCUUAAAACUUCCAAAUUCCUUUUAAAAUUGGGUUAGAAUUUACCCAAAACAACCUUCAUAAUUGUGCAGUUUUUGCUCUUCCACUCUCUUGGCUAUCUUGUUUUCUUCACCUAAUUUGGAUAGAAUUUUCUUUUCAUUCUUGAUUCUUUUUCCUACUAAUUUCUCAUUGUAAUUCCCUCCUAGAAUCCACAAAAAUUUGGUUUUAAAAUUCAUCUAAAACUGGAAGGAAAAUCACCUACAUUUUUCUUACCUUCCUUCCCAAGUUUCUCUAGGAGCACCAUGUACUUCAGCCUCUGUUUCUCCCUAUUGAAUGAAGUUUUGUCCUUUCUUUUUUUGCCAAAAUUUCCUUUAGAUAUAAUCAUAAUUCUCCCAAAAAUGUCACCAAAAACUGAGUUCAAAUGGUGUGCAAGAAAAAUAAAAAACUGAGACUCAAUAAGAAAAUCGUGCACGCUUAUCUUUCCUCCUUGCUUCUUGGCUUUCACCUUUCUUUUCCUUUUUUUUCUUCUUUCUGUUUUGGCUAAACUUUACCUAAGAUAUGGAUCUAUUAAUCUCUUAACUUUUAUUAAAAUUCAAGCUUAAAAGGGUGAAGAAAUUUACCAAAAUAGAGGCUACAAGAAGGUUGGCAUGCUUACCAUCUUCUUUUCCUCUCUCUCGGGUUCCUUUUGCUUCCUUCUCCUUCUUCUUAUGUAGGGGUUCCACAAAUCUCACUCCCUUUGGGAUGAUAUCUUGUAAGAUAAUACCACUAGCUAAAGAAAUGUUAGGGUUAGAUAUAGUCUCUUCUCUUUCUCCCGCCAACACUUCCUUGAUUUUAUUUUCUCCAGCGACAUCGUUGUUUCCUUUUUCCAGAUCAUCAUUUUUCUUUUCUCCUGCAGUACCAUCUUUUUUUUCCUAUAGCUUUAUUUCCUUCUUCUCUCGUGACUUUAAUCUCCUCUUCUUCCGUGGCUUCUUUUCUCUCUUCAAGUGAUUUUUUAAUCCUUAGUUGGUCUUUGAGUGCUUCUUUGGGUGAUAUAAACCACAAAGGCCACAACGUCCCGCUAUCAAACCCAAAUGGUAUUUUGACUGAGUAAAAGAGCAUGUGCAGAAAUCAGCAAGCAGAACAUGCAAAAGAAGAAGAGAAACAUGCAAAAAAUAAAGCCUAGCUGUUAGCCACGAUAUUAUCUUUAAGCUUAUCUUUUAUUUUUGAAUUCUUUUCCCUAAUUUAUCGGUAGUUUCAGUUGAAAAUUUUAUGUAUUUAAACACCCAUUUGCAGCAAUAAGAAAUCAUCUGAAAUUUAUAAAAAAUUUAUGGUUCUUCUCAUCUAAACGAGAAAAAUUUCUUGUCAAAUUCAAUAGGCUUCUGAUUGGGACCUAUCAAUUGUUAUCAGAGUCAUGACCACUAAUAAGAAAAGAAUAGAAAACUUGGAAAACUGUAAGGGCGAAAUGCAGGACCAUCUCAGCCAAAUGAAGGUCUGCUUGGUCGACUGCAUACUUCAACUUGAAUACAUCGCCUGACGACUCACUGACUCCCUAAUGUUCAAUAGGGAGGGUGCUAGCAGCAACACCACUAAUCGUCCCAGGAAGUCGCAUCCGCCUCACGAAGAAGCUCUCGAGUAAACCGAAGGGGGUCGAUUGAUGUUUGGUUCCAAAAUCACAAAGCUGGACUUCCCCACCUUCAAUGGAGAUGACCCAACCAAAUGGUGCAACCGAACCGAGCAAUUCUUUGACUUCUAGAAUAUUGCUGAUGAUCAGAAGGUCUCCUUAGCCUCCUUCCAUCUGACAAACAAAGCUAACUAGUGGUGGCAAUGGCUUCACCACACAUACAAGGAAGAAAUGAG
rnacentral:lncRNA from 1 species